AAAUGCAAAUGAUGAGAAAAAAUAAAACGCAUUUACAGAACAUAAUUUUCUUACUCCUCAGCGUCCAUUCAGCAGCGUUACAGUGAGGAUUACACUCAGCACACCCCAGGAUUCGGCUUGGCCCACCCACCAUACAACCCCUCUUCAGCCACAAGCUGGGGUGCUCCCCCUUCUAGCCUCCUUUCACCCAUUUCACCACAGAUCGUUCUGAGACCGAACUCUGUCACCCCAACUGAAAAUGAGAGUAAUGACGGCUAUGAGAGUCCAGGAGAAGAGUAUGUCAACGAGGUGAUGGAUGACUAUGAACCAGGAUCAGGCUACCUAAUAGUGUUACCAUCAGAUCUUCCUGGGACUGGGUCUCUGCGUCAUUCCAACCAAUGUCUCAUCUCCAAAAGCUCCCAAAGCACAGAAAACAGUGGCGCGGUUGGCAAUAUGAACGUCGACGUGGAAAAGAGUGAUGACAGUGAUGAUGGCAGCAACGACUAUGUCAAUACUAAAGACAUGUGAAGCCUCCCCAUCACGUAGCAGAUUCUGACGGGGAGGGAAUUGAGUCGAUCGACUGGAUUUAUCAUGAGUGCAACCAAGUUUCAAAGGGAAACCUACACAGCGUAACUAACAUCUUCAUAGGGGUUCUGCAAUAUGGACAAGAGCACUGUGCAACUCACUGCUGUGGCUGAUGAAACAUUUCAAAAGACCUUAACCUCAUCCACCAGCUGUCUCUGAACUAUGCGGUAAUAAUUAAGGCCUAGGGAGAACAUGUUCUAAGUUUUAUUGUAUGGUGUAGGGCAAAUGUCUUCGAACACAUCUCUUGGUGCCCCAGCUGCAACCAUAAUGUUAAAUUAAGCUCUUUCCUGACUAUUGAAGAGAGAGGAUGACAGUGGGGAAAAGUGGUGUCGUAGGGCAGAUUUGAACCCAUGUUGACACCGCGGCAUUAUUGUUUUCAAUGUAUGGAUUUGCUGACAACUCCUGAGAAUGUUCGUUCUAGUUUACUCUUUUUCUAAGCUAUAUUUCUUAUUACUGUGGAUUCAAAUCUGGUUUGGAUUUUUUUUUUUGUCAAUAUAAGAAAUGCUUUGCCAUAAUCUAUAGCCCUAUCCUGUCCGAAUAAGUUUUACUGGGGGAGCUCAGUUAAUGUAAUGUGCACAAAUCACCACAUCCAUAGUUUUUCCCAUCCAGUCAUUUUUAAAAUUAUCCCAUCCCAGGUCCUCUUAUACUUAUCCUGUCAUCCCUGUGUUGAGGGAUAUUAGAGUAACAGGUGCUGCACCCAGUUUGGGAAAGAACAUGAACAAAUGCUUAAAAAUACACUUUGGAUGUAACCUACAGAUGAAUGAACUUGUGUCACAUCAACUGUCUUAGUGCCAUACUUUUAAAAGAUGAAGUGGAAAAUAUUGUGCCAAUGAAUUGAUAAAUGUUACAGAUCAUGGUUUUUAUUGACUUUCUAUACACUGAAAGCCAUUAGGUCAAUAUUGGGAGAGCCUCCAGGCAACCAUCAUGAGGAAGGAAAAAAAAGAAUUAGGGGCAGUUUGGAAAAAUGGACAAGCUGGAUAUGAAUUACAUAGCCAACGUUCUAUAGUAAUACUAGUCCUGUGCGGAUAGGGCUUAUGAACCAUUGUGAUGUUUUCUGAAUGAAUUGAAGCUGAUAUGGAUGGCAUAGUUCACUAUUAAAGAUGUGGUUCAAAUCAGUAAUGAUCAUUCACAAAUGCUUGUUUGUUACAUACACUGCUCAAAAAAAAAGGGAACACUUAAACACAAUGUAACUCCAAGUCAGACUUCUAUGAAAUUAAACUGU
ensembl:lncRNA